GACUCUGACAUUGUGAUCUUCAAAAGAUCCUUGUAUUGUUCCACUCUAUUCUUCACUAGUAAUGUAUGGAGUUCAAUAGAGUCUUUUGGAUAAUUUAAAACACCAAAUAACUGUGACUUAAGCCCAGAUUUCCUAUCAGCCCUGCUGCAGACUUAGCGGAAUUUGAAUCUUUGAGGAUGGAGCCCAGCAAUACGUAUAUUAAAGAAGAUUUUUGGGCUGUUUCGUGGACGCCGGGUGAGCUUGAGCAUCUGUGUGUGUUGGGCAGGAGGAAAGCGGGAAGACGCAUCGGAGUGUGUGGAUUUGAGCCUCUGCAUUUUUUACCCUAGAUCUCGAAAUGCAUCGUGAUUCCUGUCCAUUGGACUGUAAGGUUUAUUUGGCAAUCUUAGAAACAAUGGCAAGACCGAAUUGGAACGGACUUUUGGCUACUAUGGACCACUCCGAAGUGUGUAGGUUGCUAGAAACCCUCCCUGCUUUGCUUUUGCUGAAUUUGAAAACCCCCAAGAUACAGCUGAUGCUGUCCGAGAGCUAGAUGGAAGAACACUAUGUGGCUGCCGUGUAAGAGUGGAACUGUCGAAUGGUGAAAAAAGAAGUAGAAAUCGUGGCCCACCUCCCUUUUGGGGUCGUCGUCCUCGAGAUUAUUAUCGUAGGAGGAGUCCUCCACCUCGUCGAAGAUUUCUGAGAAGGAGAAGCUUCUCUCGCAGCCGGAGCAGGUCCCUUUCUAGAGAUUGGAGAAGAGAGAUCACUGUCCCGGGAGAUAAAUCACAAGCCGUCCCGAUCCUUCUCUAGGUCUCGUAGCCGAUCUAGGUCAAAUGAAAGGAAAUAGAAGACCAGUUUGCAAGAGAAGUGGUGUACAGGAAAUUACUUCAUUUGACAGGAGUGUGUACAGAAAAUUCAAGUUUUGUUUGAGACUUCAUAAGCUUGGUGCAUUUUUAAGAUGCUUUAGCUGUUCAAAUUUGUUUGUCUUUUGAAACAGUGACACAAAGGUAUAAUUCUCUAUGGUUUGAAAUGGAUCAUAUGAGGCAUGUAAUGCCAAGAAUUGUUACUUUACAAUGUUCCCUUAAGCAAAAUUGAAUUUGCUUUGAAUUUUAGUUAUGCAUAGACUGAUAAUAAACCUCUAAACCUGCCCAGCAGAAGUGUGAAUUUUUUUUUUUAAAUACAGAAACAACUGGCAAAAAUUGAACUAAGAUUUACUUUUUCAGGAUAUAGGAUGCAGCUAUAGUUGAACAAGCAGUCUUUAAAAGUUGCUGUGAAACACAAGCCAUCAGGUAAAAAACGCUGCACUAUUAAAUCAGAGGUUUUUGAAAAAGCCAACUCAUGUUUAUCCUGGGCAGAGGUUGCCUAGUUGGUAUAGAAUCUUAAGUUUCAAGAAAGUUUAUCUUUGAUUUAGGUCAUAAGUUCCUUAUUUAAUUGCUGUAUAUGAAUACAUGGCUGUUCAUGACAUUAUGGGCAAAUUUGAGAUUUCAAAAAUGACCUGCCAGUUUAAGGGAACAUUGUAGAGCCGACUGUGCAAGAUUUUUUUUCAUGCUGUCAUUUGUAAUAUGUUUUGUGAGAAUCCUUGGGAUUAAAGUUUUGGUUACAAAUUGUUGUUUAA